UAAAAAAAAUCGUACAUCUUUGAUGUUGCAGAUCUGGGUAUUUUGAUUUUAUAAGUCAAUUACCUAAAAUUAAUAAUACACAUAUUAAUGUGAAGCAUACUAAUUAAUAGUUGCUGAUCAUUUAUAUUUUAUUACAUUACAAUCAAGUAAUUUAGGUGGUGAUGUAUAAAUUAUGAGAA
rnacentral:misc_RNA from 1 species